GCCAGUGCAUUCUAUGGUGAAGUAGUUUUGUUUAACUUUUGUGUGAUGUUGACAUUGACAUUGUUUUAAUGAAAUCUAACAGUGUAAAAUCUAACAAUAAAAUAAACAAACAAAAUUUGUGAUAUUUUAUUGUUAAUCUUCCUGGAUCAUGAGUUUGGGCAGUAUAGCAAUAGGCUGAAUAAAGAAAUAAUUACUGGCAACCUGGUAAAGUUAGAAGAUAAAGAUGUGAUCAUUCCCACAUCAAAAUCUUUCUUCUUUUCCUCCAGAUUUCAAGAAAGAACUAAAGGAGUCUCAAGAACGAAGGAAAGGAAGCAACGAUGAAUGAAAGAAGCCAAACCAGGGGAUGCGUAACUCAAGAAUCACAACACGCUGUGAAUAAUUCUCAAAGGAAGCCCAAGCUUCUUUUUCUCCCACUUGCUUUGUCAGGCAGCAGCAUCUCUCAGAUGUUCCCUGUCCUGAAUGGAACAUGCUUCAUGCAUGUUAGGAGCUUCAUGCUUCUGUAGUUUCUCAAUGCCUGUGGAAGGCAGCAUCAUCCCUGAGAUGGUGGCUCUCUUGAAUGGAACAUGCUUCAUGCAUGUUAGGAGCUUCAUGCUUCUGUAGUUUCUCAAUGCCUGUGGAAGGCAGCAUCAUCCCUAAGAUGGUGGCUCUCUUGAAUGGAACACGCUUCAUGCAUGUUCCAUUCUGCCCUCUGAAGAAUGGUUUGGCAAGAAGAAACAGAAUUGGCACACCUUUCUCGAAGACCUCCAUGCCUGGAUGUUGACGGAACCUUUUCUCCUCCCAGGUGGCCUCCGUGGCAGAUUUCUAGAAAGAACUAAAAGAAUCUGAAGAAAGAACGAAAGGAAGCAACAAUGCACGACAGAAGCCAAACCAGGGGCUCCAUUGACAGAUGUUCCCUGUCCUGAAUGCAACAUGCUUCAUGCGUGUUAGGAGCUUCAGGCUUCUAUAUUUUCCCAAUGGCUGUGGGAGGCAGCAUCAUCCCUAAGGUGGUGGCUGUCUUGAAUGGGACAUGCUUCAUGCAUGUUCCAUUCUGCCCUCUGAAGAAUGGUUUGGCAAGAAGAAACAGAAUUGGCGCACUUUCUUCAAGGACCUCCAUGCCUGAACAUGGAUGUGGAAACGUUUUCUCCUCCCAAGCUGCCUCUGUGGCAGAUUUCAAGAAAGAACAAAAGGAAGCAACAAUGCAUGACAGAAGCCAAACCAGGGUCUGCAUUGAUAGAUGGCCCCUGUCCUGAAUGCAACAUGCUUCAUGCGUGUUAGGAGCUUCAGGCUUCUGUAUUUUCCCAAUGCCUGUGGGAGGCAGCAUCAUCCCUAAGAUGGAGGCUCUCUUGAAUGGAACAUGCUUCAUGCAUGUUCCAUUCUGCCCUCUGAAGAAUGGUUUGGCAAGAAGAAACAGAAUUGGCGCACCUUCUUCAAGGACCUCCAUGCCUGAACGUGGAUGUGGAAACGUUUUCUCCUCCGAAGUGGCCACUGUGGCAGGUAAGACUGAAAGGGAAGGAUGGGAGGGACCAAUAAAAAUAUAUAUAUGUCAACGAGGGCUGUAUUAACUCCUAUUUGAAUGUUCUUACUUGCUUAUAAAGAUCUUGAAUAUACAGUUUCAAGUGCUCUAUUUAAAUUUGUCUCCCUAGCAGAUGUUCCUCUUGAGUUUUGUGCAGGCCUAUUGAAAAGUGAUCUUACUAAACAAAUGCAGGGACGCAGGAGCUGAGGUCCUGCGGUCAGGGUGAUGUGCUGGCAACCUCUCCCCUGUAGCUGACACAGUGAGGAAGGGACGCAGGAGCUGAGGUCCUGCGGUCAGGGUGAUGUGCUGGCAACCUCUCCCCUGUAGCUGACACAGUGAGGAAGGGACGCAGGAGCUGAGGUCCUGCGGUCAGGGUGAUGUGCUGGCAACCUCUCCCCUGUAGCUGACACAGUGAGGCAGGGACGCAGGAGCUGAGGUCCUGCGGUCAGGGUGAAG